AUGACUUUGAUCUGCGUCCUCAUCUGGACUCUCCUCUGCUGCUGUUUCACAGAGUCCAGAGGACAGUACACUCUGACUCAGCCUGGAGCAGUGAGGUCUGCUCCGGGAGGCUCCGUCUCCAUCAGCUGUAGGACCAGUCAGGAUGUUCAUGGUGGGAGCUAUUUAGCCUGGUACCAACAGAGAGAUGGAGGAACUCCUAAACUGCUCAUUUACCUUGCUAGCAGUCGUCAGUCAGGGAUUCCAGGUCGUUUUACUGGCAGUGGAUCAAACUCUGACUUCACUCUGACCAUCAGUGGAGUUCAGACUGAAGAUGCAGCAGUUUACUACUGUCAGAGUCUUCACUAUCCCAACAGUCAGUGGGUGUUCACACAGUGAAAAAGGGUCGUACAAAAACCUCCCUCAGUCAGACUGAACAGAAACUGAACUGACUGCUGCAGCUGGAAGCUACUGCAGAGACUGACACACUUCACUAGACAAACACUGUACACA